AUCCAGGGCCAGCCUUGGGGACUCUCUGUGCUCUCCGAUAGGCAGGAAGAAGGAGUGGGGUGGCGGGGAAGCCGAGCCCCCCACAGACCUCCUGUUAUGGGUGCUAGGUAGGGGGGAGGAAGCUCGAGGACCCUCCUUACCUCCCUCAGCCACAGUCAGUUGAGGCCAGGGGACAAAGGGAAAGGAGAGAGGGAAGGAGGACCACCUGACCAUGCCCAGAAGGAGCUUCCUCUAAACUGCCCUGGGGAGGAAUCCUGGUUUGCUGGUGUGGACUGGAGCUGUUUGGGGAUACUGUUAAAGAAAAGAACUACAAAAUAGAAAAUGUAAGGAGGGAAAAAAGAAACCUUGCCAGGGCACCAGGAGCUUAGCCCCCCAUGUGGCACAGAGUCCCAAAGCUGGGCCCCUGCAGUUUCAGUCCAGUGAGUUGAGUGUCUUGGGGCCUGUGUGAUGUGGGGGGAGGGAUGCGUGGGUAGCUGGCAGUAGAUGGUGGGUCACAUGCAGCCGGCUGCUGCCCUUGCCCAGUCUGGGGGCCCAGGAGUGGUGAAAUCCUAGCUUUUCCUUGAGGCCCUUUCAUUCUUGGGACUGUGGAGUUGCUUGCUGAAAUUCUUCACUUCAGGUGCUGCUUUGGCACACGUGGAGGGGAGAGGGUGGCCUCUAGUCUCUUGGCUCCCUGAAGACUGGCCCAUGGGAACAGUUGAGGGAGACUCUUGCCGCUAUCUGCCCUGGAGAAGGACAUGCCCUCAGAUGCACCAGAGGCCUUCUUUAUUGCCAGUGUGGGCUCUUCAGGUCCCUGCCCUGGAGGAGCUGGCAGCUGCUUGAUGCCUUGGUGACUCUGAGCCAGCCACUCAGAAAGACUCAAAAGACACUGACUCCCCCCAUCCAGAUCUGACACCCAACAGUCAAGCUGGCAGCUUCAAGCCUCAUUUCUGAGACGCCUACGAUGUUAACUGAGUCCCAUCCUGGGUUCAUCAGUAUCGGGGAUGCUCUAAAACACAGAUUGGAAGAUGAACUUAGGAGUUGCCUUUGAGCAGCGGGGCCAGGAAGAUCACGUCCGACCAUAGCACAGAGAGCUGGGCGCACCGAGCGGCGGACAGAUGUCCACAAAGAGCCUAGAGCCAGCUUCUCCACGGAGCCUGGAGUGCCAGGGCGCGGUGCCAGACUGUAGGCAGACACAGCCCUGCCACGCUGAUUCAGGCAUCCUGGGGAGACAGACACGCCCAGGUUCACGGGAAAACUGACGUUCUUUCCAGGCUGGGUCUGCUCAUUAUGGACAAACACACUAUUUGCCUUCACUGUAAAAUGCCUGAAUCAGCAGCUCAGUUCAGCCUCACAGGGGGAGGGGAGGGAGGAUGGGGAAAGCUCGCUCAGGCAAGAAGAAACACAGCUGCUGCCUCCACACCCACAUCCCUUCCCUCCAAGAACGUCAGAGCCAGGCCUCUGGCCUCAGAUUAGAGCCCUAGGCUGCCUGCUGGGUAGGCUGCUGCUGUGGGGAGUUGCCAAGGGAGUGACAGCAGCUGGAGCCAGCCAGCCACUGGCUAAAAGGUGACCUGCUGCAACCCAGUGCCUGCUCAGCCUGGGGCACCAUCCCUCACGUUCUCAAGUGCCAGUUAUUUCCCUGAAGCCACGUCAACCUCUAAGACGCUGGAAGGGAGAAGCAAGGGACCUGGAGUCUGGACUCCUGUGCAUUCCUAAGGAGAUGCCCAGUCCUCUCUCGGGGAAGCCAGCUGCAGGCGGUCUUGGAAGGUCACGGGAAGAGUGACGUCUGUGAGCUGCUGUUGGAACAUGCUCUAAUGUGGAAAGGUAAGAGGUGAUAGAGGCAAUGGAUGUGCUUGAAGAAAAGCUGAAUGCGUGGAACGGUACUCCAGUCCCUGCGUGUGCAUACAUGUGUGCGUGCACACACCCGGGAAGGGGAGGACCAGGCGGGGCUGGCAGGGUGGCCACCGUGUGCUGUGCAGCAGUCUACACAGGGAUUCAGGUGCCUGGUCCACUCCCAUGCAGGAAGCCGGCAUGCACUAGUGAUGGGUUUCACGUGAAGCCACAGCGCACGGAUCUAUCCUAUAGGGCACCGACACCAGACCACACACAGCACGGAUCUAUCCAAUAGGGCACCAACACCAGACCACACAUGGGACAGCAGGAGAGCCACUGGACCCAGGCCUACCCCAGAGAGAAGGCUCAGCGGACAGCCGCCUUCCUGGGAGAGGCCUGAGGUUUCUGGAAAGGUUUUGAACCCUGCAUGUGACCCAUUCUCCUCUCUUCUCAUAUCAAAGACCAAUGGGGUAUCCCACCCUCCCUCGGAGUCCCAUGGAUCCUCAUGAAAACUCAACAAAGGGCUCGGAAAGGAGAAGCAGCAGGAAAUCUGUUUGCAUGAGGCCUCAGGCCUGGUGUUCAUUUGAUUCGCCAUCUGGUUUCUUCCUGGUACUGGGCACAGGCCAGUUUCCCCAUCUGGCGGGGUGGCUGGCUCUCUGGGAAGGGUCUCAAAUGUGGGCUCACUCCCUCCUUCCAGAGACGCUCAGGUCCAAGCAGGUUAUACUCCCCCCAAAUCCAGCGACAUUCAGGCGGUGGAUGGAGGCGGCUCUGAUGCACAUGUAAUUACGUUGCACAGACGUACACGACACAGACAGUGGAUGGAUCGCGCAGGUGGGCACAAAGGAACCCAUAGACCUGGGCCACCACCGCGUGCAGACACACAGGGAUGCACAGCUGAAACGCAGGUGGCAGGAACAGUCCCAGCCCCAGUGUCCACAGUCCAUACCAGCCCCCAGAGUUCUCUCUCCUUCCAGUGGGGGCUGUCCCUGAGAAAAGGGGGCCGGGGCGAAGUCCACCAGAGACUCCCACAUGUGCCGAUGGGAUCUUCAGAGGGAAGUCCUGGGAGAGACCCUCCAGCGGGAGCCCAGGAGUGCCCUCUGCUGGACAUGAAGGGCUGGUGUAGCUCAGGACACCUCUGGCCGGCUGGAGGUGUCAGAGGGAGCUCAGAGAGAGAGAGAGUGUGUGUGUGUGUGUCUCAGAAGGGUGGGAAGGGCUGAAAUCUAGACCUGACACGGAUUCUGCACAGGAAAUGCUCAGUGUUGUGCAUUUUUCUGGGGUGGCUGGUGUACCAGAAAUUUCCACCAAGAACUCCUAAAGGUUCAGGCAAGCUCACCUGGGCACCUGGAGAGGUGGUGGACAUGCAGUGGCAAAGCCAUGCAAGGCACAUGCUGGAUUCUUGCUUUCUUCUCAGUCAGCUGCUCCCAGGACAUUUCCCCAAAACCUGGAUCACAGCCUCCCAGACUUCCUGCAUAGACCUCCUGGGUCCUUUUAGCUAAAGGAUCUAUUCCAGGCAAGGUCCUGAAGCCAUCUGCCAGCCCUCUGGCAGUGGGAGUGUUUGCGUCCCUCCCUCACCUCCCCCACGCAUCCUCUUUUUCUACAAGUUGGAGGCCUGUGACCCAGAAGCCCUGGGGCUCUCCCUCACUCCUGAAGGGCUCCGUCAAGUCUGUUCUUGCCUCAGAGCCAGCUCUAUCUCCAACUCACUGACCCACAAGCAUCAGGCCAGGAAGGUGCAAAGGGGGAGGGGCUCUGCUUAGGAGGAAGGAAUCUGCUAGAGGGUGGGUAUGCCCACUUCACUGCCCCAAGUGCCAUGGCCGGGGCAGGAAGACCAAAUGGUCCAUUUGUGAGUAUAUUUGUGUGUGUGUGUGUGUGUGGGUGUAGAGGGUAGAGUUAAGGAUGGUGUUAGAGGGAAAAUGGGUAAAAGGACAGUGUAUAAAAAGGAAUCAUUCCUGCCUGUAUAAACUGUUCCCCCUGAUGUAGAUGGUAAUGUAUUUAUAUAAUAAAAUUUA